CCAGGGCUAGAGUUGACUCUCGCAAGAGCGGUAACGUUGCCAUGGUAAUCGCGGCAACGCUCUGUGCUCGUGCAAGAAGGACCCAGAGGAGCUGCAGGGUGAGCUCCCAGGUCCUCUCUUCCUUCCUCCCCUGCCCACACGGUGCCUGCGGACAGGGGAGGGGGAGCAAUUGCCCUGUUGCCCCCCUGGAUCCACCAGUGAUAUAUACAGCCCUUCUGUGUGCCUUUUUGUCUCCCCC